GGCCGUCUAGCUCAGUUGGUUAGAGCGUCGUGCUAAUAUAUGCUUAGAAAAUGUUAUAUUAACGCGAAGGUCUUGGGUUCGACCCCCACGAUGGCCA